UACGUAGGUGGCAAGCGUUGUCCGGAUUUAUUGGGUUUAAAGGGUGCGUAGGCGGUCCUAUAAGUCAGUGCUGAAAUAUCCCGGCUUAACCGGGAGGGUGGCAUUGAUACUGUUGGACUUGAGUAAAGUUGAGGUUGGCGGAAUUGACGGUGUAGCGGUGAAAUGCUUAGAUAUCGUCAAGAACACCUAUUGCGAAGGCAGCUUACCAAGCUGUAACUGACACUGAGGCACGAAAGUGUGGGGAUCAAACAGG
rnacentral:rRNA from 1 species